GGCAACUUCCCAAGGACACACAGCCGGAGGAGCCCCCUGCCUAUUGCUCCAAAGUGCUCACACACUGGGGCAGGGCCAGGUCGCUGGGGUCCCGCACACCGGUCAAGUCCUGCAGUGCGACAGCUCCUCUCUAACCUAGGAACAAGUGUCCAUGCAGCCCCAGGGCCAUCCUAUCCCGUGGCUCAUGGGGCCCCGCCUCCCCGAACAUGUCCUGUCCCCACAGCACCGGCCUAGGACUGUUCACCAGCGAGUGGGCAGAGUGUCUUUGCCCCAGUCUGGUCCACGCCAUGGAGAGGCCUGGAAAAACCCAACAGGCUGCUGUUCCCUGCCCCCAUCCCUGAGGGGGUUAGAAAAGGAAAGAAUGUUCAAAGUAAACAAGUCACCAGAGGGCCAUGCCAGGACCUUGCAACAAACACAAGGUGCUCAGUAAGUGCUGAGUCCUGGGAUGAAGAAUUCUGAAGCGGGACCACUACCAGGGCCUGCCCCCUGCCCACAGCCCUCCCAGGCCGGGCAGGGCAAGUUCUGGAGGGCCGGUGGCGGCAUACACUGAAGGCUGUGUGACGUUUCUAUUUCUCAAGGCAGUAACAGCAACCGUGAACCUCAGAGGCAGCCAAGGGAAAUGUUCCUCCCAUAUGGAAAGUCAGAAGCUGCCAGAGAGGCAAGUGGAGCAUGCAAGACAACUGAUGGCAUAGUCUCAGAACUGACCAUGAAUACUGCUCUCCACUUUCCAUUGACCAAAGCAAGUCCAACGUUGUGGGAAAGGGUCCCUCACCCACAGUGGGAGGUGAGGGGUGUGGACACUUGCCACUUGCUGAUUGAUGACCAAAAUAUCCCAGGUAUAUACCCUUUCACACUUUUCCUAUGCUUUUUUAAAUAAAGACACUCUUUACCAAUCAGAAUCACUCUACAUAUUGUUUUGCCACUCAGUUAUAUGUAUGACUACAUCUUUUUAUGUCAUAAAAAUUCUUCUGCAACAUGUGACUGCUUGCAAUUCUAUUUUGUGGUCAUAUCAUGAUU
rnacentral:lncRNA from 1 species